rnacentral:rRNA from 1 species
UGGGGAAUAUUGGACAAUGGGCGAAAGCCUGAUCCAGCCAUGCCGCGUGUGUGAAGAAGGUCUUCGGAUGGUAAAGCAUUUUAAGUUGGGAGGAAGGGCAGUAAGCGAAUACCUUGCUGUUUUGACGUUACCGACAGAAUAAGCACCGGCUAACUCUGUGCCAGCAGCCGCGGUAAUACAGAGGGUGCAAGCGUUAAUCGGAAUUACUGGGCGUAAAGCGCGCGUAGGUGGUUCGUUAAGUUGAAUGUGAAAGCCCCUGGCUCAACCUGGGAACUGCAUCCAAAACUGGCGAGCUAGAGUAGGGCAGGGGGUGGUGGAAUUUCCUGUGUAGCGGUGAAAUGCGUAGAUAUAGGAAGGAACACCAGUGGCGAAGGCGACCACCUGGGCUCAUACUGACACUGAGGUGCGAAAGCGUGGGGAGCAAACAGG